UGGGUCUGUCGCAACUGGCGUAUGGACGGCCCCUCGGGUGCCGCCCCAGGAUGGCUCACCAUCAGGGAGUGACAAGCACCUUCGAGAUGGAGGCGGAUUCGGCCGCGCGCCUGGGCUGGAACG
rnacentral:ncRNA from 2 species